GGAUUGGCAAAAGGACCGACAGGGCCUAAGCCUGCUUCCGACCCAGCUGUCCGAGCUAUCCAAGUCCUGCGGUCCCCCAUGAGCAAAACAUUCGACUGUCCAGGAAUUAUGGGAACUUUCGUCGAACACGUUGAACCACCUAUUCGAUCGUUCGUUCGAUCGAAGUACAACUUCACCGACGUCGAAUCAUUUACGGUAUAACUUUUGGAAGAGACGAGUUUCCCGAAGGAAGCUUGCUCGAUCCUUCGAACGAAAUUAACCAGCGAGCACCAACAGCCAAGCAUCGAGGAGAUACAAUUAGCUAAAUCGAAUCGAAACCGGAAAACACGUGGCACAGAAAAUGAUCAGGUUGUUAAUCCAGAUCGACGAUGGAUCGCUCUUAUGGAAAUAGAGAGAAAAGAACUUAGCCAGUGUUCACCGGGAGACGAAAAGAGCAGCGACAAAGAUAGGGGAGGAAAUAAGAACGUGUGUAAAAAAAGAAAAAGAAGGCAAGGACAAAACGAUGGUAACGAACGUUGAAAACUGACAGCCUUGUAAAAAUAAAAAAAAAUAAAAUAGUGGCAAAGUAGGGAAAAAGAGAAUAUGUUGCACGUCGAUGUGAGUAAAAGAAGAAGAGGAUGAGUAAGAAAGAUUCAGAGGCUGAGGAAAAAAUCGGGGUUGCUGCGAUAGCGAAGGUGGAGAGGAGAUGGGGUUGUUCGGUAGGUUUGAGAGGCUAAAGCAACGAGGAGAGAGGCACGAUCUUUCCUCGGCAUCGCGACUGUCUCUGAGCGAUUUUUGCACAACAAGGAGGCGAAUUCAAACGGCAUUGUACCGUCACGUGCGGCCACUCGCUCUCUUUCAACGGAGCGUCGUUAGAACCUCUUUCCUUCGUGCAACCACAGAACUUCCUUACAUUGCCCUCAUUCUCCUCCUUCACCUUAAUUUUCUACUUACGUCUAUUCUCUUUACAUCGAAUUAAUUGCCACGAAAUCAUCCCUUUUUUCUCGAUCACCUCACAGAAGGCCCAGAUAAUUCGUGCCAACAGAUCCGACGCACGUUCCAAUUCGCUGUACUUUAUAUCUGAAAAUUAAUUACAUAAUACGCGCUCGGACUUUAGUUUUUCAUUUUAAAAUCAUUAAAAGAAAGAUUUCAAUUUUCAACCAUUACUUUUAUCGUUGCAGGGAAACGUACUUUAUUUUCAAAACAGAACACUCUUUUCGUUUUACAUUAUGAAACUAUCUUAUCGUUAUUGUUUAUAAAAAUUAUCAUUUACAAAGUAAGGUAUACAUCUUCCAGUGAAUCAAAUUUCAAUUAAAGGUAAUAAGAGAAAGAUAUCUUCACGUUUAUUAAGGUAGCUAAAUUGUUGUAUUUGGAAUGUUUUGCGAUUGUCAGUGAUCGUGUUCGCGAUAGGUAUUCGUUUUGCAUGGUCACACAAUUAUACUCAAUGUUUCAUAGUGUUCAUUUGAGUCAUUUUUAUUUAUUAGAAACGAUUAGAUAUCUUUUCAUUUUUAUCUCGUACAAGGUCGAUUCCGGGACCUUUCGAACACAGAUUGUGUUUAAUAAAGAUUCACGCGAACAGUUUGCUUUCCCAUCGAGAUUACGAGACAACUCAUUCUUUCGUUUUCUAAUUCAAACACUUACCAUUAGUAAUGUGUUUAUUUCUUUGACAUUCGAUUGGUGCUUUAGCAUCGAUAAAGAGAUCAGUAUCGCUCGCGACCAGACAGAAAUAUAAAUCUUUUAUUUUUAAUUCAGAUACAAUACAUCUAAGGUUAAACAAUAAAGAUAGCUACUAAUUUAAUUUUCCGUCGUGGACAUUAGAAUAAUCAAGUAAAAAUCUUUAACAUUGCACAAUAUACAUAUACAUAUAUGUAUAUACACACGCAUAACGCGGUCACCUAUACCGACUAUUUACAUAAUUUUAUACAACGUUUCUUUGGAAAGACUUGAUUCAACACCGAUGGAUUAAUAGUGAAGAUGGAAUCACCAUUUCCUAAUUUACAUACAUUUAUUUAUCGCUUAUAGAGAUUAAUACAUAUAUCUUUCCAUUUGAUCAUUAGGAAAUGGUUGUAAACGUAACGUUUCACUAUAGAUACAAAUUUACAGAAUGCGCAUAGAAAACGACGAAAGAGAAAUAUUAUUUAUAAUGAACAAGUUUUUUUUAUUAUAACGAUUAACGUACAGUAUUAAAAAUAUUAACCGUCAGAAUUUGAUAGUGUUCCAUUAUACUCUCUAUAUGUCCUGCAUUAAAACGAAUUCUAUUUUUCAUCUUUUAUUAUCUGUAUAUAUAUACACCGAUAAUGCUAAUGGAAUUAUUUAAACUAUAUUUAAUCUACGAAAAAAAAAAAAAGAAAGUGUACCGUGGUAGCGAAACCUGAACAGAGGUAAA